AGCAGCCGCGGUAAUUCCAGCUCCAAUAGCGUAUAUUAAAGUUGUUGCAGUUAAAAAGCUCGUAGUUGAAUUUCGGGAUCAAUACGUCGGUCGUGCCUCUGGUAUGUACUGGUGUUAUUGAUUUCUCCCUUCUGAUGAACCAUGAUGUCAUUCAUUUGGUGUUGUGUGGAGUCAGGACUGUUACUUUGAGAAAAUUAGAGUGUUUAAAGCAGGCUCACGCUUGAAUACAUUAGCAUGGAAUAAUGAAAUAGGACGUUCGAUCCUAUUUUGUUGGUUUCUAGGAUCAACGUAAUGAUUAAUAGGGAUAGUUGGGGGCAUUAGUAUUCAAUUGUCAGAGGUGAAAUUCUUGGAUUUAUUGAAGACUAACUACUGCGAAAGCAUUUGCCAAGGGUGUUCUCAUUAAUCAAGAACGAAAGUUAGGGGAUCGAAGACGAUCAGAUACCGUCGUAGUCUUAACCAUAAACUAUGCCGA
rnacentral:rRNA from 1 species